CGUCAAUUCUGAUGGAAAGAUUAUCUCUAAUGCUGAUGUGGAUUUCUACAUUGACGAUGACACGAUUCGUGUUGUUGAAUCCAAGCCAGUUAAAAGAUAUGGUGAUUACUUCCUGCGACAUAUUGUCAAGCUUGAAGGAGUGAUAACUGAUAUGGAUCGGAUAAAGCUGGAGUAGACUGGCUGCCUACAUAUCUUGCCAUGGACUUGACAUAUUUAUGUUGAUUAUUUUACUUUUUGUUUCACUAUUCGACAGGAGUUUAUGCCAAUUUAUAUGGCAUUUU